CAUUAAAUGACUGAUUAAAGUAUUGAUUUUUUAAAUCAAAUUAUAAUAGUUUUCUAUUUUUAAUGA
rnacentral:tRNA from 1 species